AACGCACGCUGGAGUAGAGGAAACAAGAAAGAUGCAAGGAGAAUUGGAGGAAGAGACUAAGAAGCAAGGAGUAGCAGAAAGAAACCAUUAUGCACUGACCCCAGCCUCCUGCACAUUGCCUCACCAAGGGGACUGAGUGUGAUGUGCGGUGUUGGCCUGAAGUCAAGCCUGGGAAAGAGGAGGAAAUGCAUUUCCCUAAGUGUUUGUCUAGUUAUCUUCGUGGGAGUUUGGGUUUUUUUUUCUCAAUACCCAAAUAGGUAAUUAAAAGUUUAUGUUAAUUUGCAAUACAUUAAAUUAGCUGAAAUUCCCUGAGUCGAGACUGUUCUGCCCAUGACACCUACCCAUCCCAGAAAAUAACAAGAAGGUUUGACCAGUGAUUAGUGUUAAGAGCCUGCUUUGUGCAGCCUUUCACUUUGACCAUGAUGAAGUUACUUGGUCUCCCGGAGCUGCAUUUUCCCAUUUCUAAAAUGAACACGUCUUUCAAAAGAGACAUUGUAAAUCUAUUUCAUUUUUGAGAUGCUGAGGUGGAAUGGGAAAUCAUCUGACAAUAGAGUGGGGGAAGACCCCCAAGUUGGUCGGCGUCCAACUUCUUAGAGGGACAAGUGGCGUUCAGCCACCCAAGAUUGAGCAAUAACAGGUCUGUGAUGCCCUUAGAUGUCCGGGGCCGCACGCGCGCUACACUGACUGGCUCAGCUUGUGCCUACCCUCCGCCGGCAGGCGCAGGUAACCCGUUGAACCCCAUUCGUGAUGGGUAUCGGGGAUUGCAAUUCUUCCCCGUGAACGACGAAUUCCCAGUAAGUGCGGGUCAUAAGCUCGCGUUGAUUAAGUCCCUGCCCUUUGUACACACCGCCCGUCGCUACUACCGAUUGGGUGGUUUAGUGAGGUCCUCGGAUCGGCCCCAGCGGGGUCGGCCCCGGCCCUGCCGGAGCGUCAAGAAGACGGUCAAACUUCACUAUCUAGAGGAAGUAAAAGUCAUAACAAGGUUUCCGUAGGUGAACCUGCGGAAGGAUCAUUACCGGGGGUCGGGGUCGCGCCGGGCGUCCGGCCGCGCCGCCGACUCGAUUCGCCGCUCACCCGCGCCCCGCCG
rnacentral:ncRNA from 1 species